AGUGGUGUAGCUCAGUGAUAAAGCACUUGCCUAGCAUGCACUAGGCCCUGAGUUCAAUCCUUAGCACUACAA
rnacentral:tRNA from 1 species